rnacentral:rRNA from 1 species
GACAGGUGCUGCAUGGCUGUCGUCAGCUCGUGUUGUGAAAUGUUGGGUUAAGUCCCGCAACGAGCGCAACCCUUAUCCUUUGUUGCCAGCGGUUAGGCCGGGAACUCAAAGGAGACUGCCAGUGAUAAACUGGAGGAAGGUGGGGAUGACGUCAAGUCAUCAUGGCCCUUACGAGUAGGGCUACACACGUGCUACAAUGGCGCAUACAAAGAGAAGCGACCUCGCGAGAGCAAGCGGACCUCAUAAAGUGCGUCGUAGUCCGGAUUGGAGUCUGCAACUCGACUCCAUGAAGUCGGAAUCGCUAGUAAUCGUGGAUCAGAAUGCCACGGUGAAUACGUUCCCGGGCCUUGUACACACCGCCCGUCACACCAUGGGAGUGGGUUGCAAAAGAAGUAGGUAGCUUAACCUUCGGGAGGGC